AUGAGCUGCAGCCAGGGGCUCUGGCUUUGUAAAACGGCCGCCCUUAGCCCCAGGGCCCGGACCAGGUGUGGAGGGUGCCUGCAAGGACAGCCAGCCCCGCACCGAAGCCAGGUGGUGCCAACACAGAGAAAGCGGCAGAGGGCACAGGGACAUCUUCCCGGUCUGGACAGCAAACCCCAGGGAGGAGAGAACCUUGCUUAUGCUCGUCACCUGAACACUCUGCUCCCGGCAGCAACACCCCAACACAUCUCUCAGCUCACCAAAAGGCGGUCCAGCUCCCGUUCUUCCCUCUUGCGGCAGCUUCGCCCCUGGGUGAGGGAGGCGAGGGUCAGGGUGCCAGGGCCGGAGGAGGGCCGGGGAGCCCGGGGCGCCCGGAGUGGGCGUGGCCUGCGGGAGGGGAGCUCUGCGGGGUCGCCGCGACCUCUCACCGGGAGAAGCCGCCCGGCCUGCGUCUGCGCCUGGGGGCGCGGCGGGCGAGCCCCCCCCCCCCCCCCCCGCCGGCCCUCUGACCCCUGGCACCCAGGCCCCCGCCCCCAGCCCCGGGGCGCCCGGCCAGGUAAGCGCGAGCACCUCCCGCGGGGCGGGCCGGCUUGCGCCCGGGUCUGCGCCGGGGAUGCGCGGGGCCCCGGGCGCCGGGGGUGGGGGUGGGGGCCGACGAGGCGGCCGGGCCCGCGACCCUCCCGGAAGCCGCGGCCGGGGCGGGGCGGGGCCGCCUUUCCGCCGGAGGGUCGGGGGCGCGGGGGGGCGGGGACGCCAGGCCGGAAGCGCCCGCCGCGGGGCCUCACCUGCGCGCACCUGGGCCCGCCCGCGCCGCGGGCUCCGAGGGACGCGGGGCCGCCUCGGGGGCGCACCCCCGCCCCGCCCCGCCCCCGCCCCCGCCCCCGCCCCCGCCGGGCGGCGGCCCCGGCGCUCCCCCCGCGCCUGGCCCGGCCGCGCUCGCCCCGCCCGCCGCCGCCCCCGGCCCGCCGCCCGCGCGCGCCCCGGGGAAGAGAGGGGAGGGCGGGGGCCCGGGGCGGGCGCGGCCGGGGAGGCGGCGGGCGGGCGCGGGCCGGGGCCGGGGCCGGGGGCGGGGCGGGCGGGCGGACGCGGGCGGCGGCGGCGCCCCCUCCCGGACCUACCGGCGGCCGCGCUCCGGAAGCCGUGCCCGGUGGCUGGGCAUCAUGGGAAUGGCACGGCCGAGUUCCGGGGGAGGCGCGCGGCCCGCCGGACCCCCGCCCGCGAGCGCGCGCCCACCUGCCGGCCCCUGCGGGGCGCCCCCGCCCGCGCCCGCGCCCCCGCCCCGCGCCCCCCGAGGCCCCCCGCGCCCCCCGCGCCCCGCGUCCCCCGAGGCCCCCCGCGCCCCCCGCCCCCGCGCGCCCAGCCUGGCUCGGGCCGGGGCGUCCCCGCGCCUGGGAGUUCGGGGUGGCUGACGUGGGGCCCCCGCCCGCCCUGCCGGAGGCGGGACCGACCCUGGGGGCCCGCCCUGUCCCCGGGGUGCCGGCGCGGCGGGGGCGCGCCCGGGGAGCGCGGGAGGUGGGGAGCCGGAGGGGCUGCGGCCCUGCCCGGUGCCGCGACCACCAGGCUGCAGCGCUCCUAGAAGUGCCCCGUGAGGUCCCGCCCGUGCGCGGCUCCGAGCCCGGCGCGGUCCUCCCGCCGGGGUGUGCGCCGAGCUCCGCGCCGAGCCCGCCCGCGGGCCUGGCCGGGCCGGGCCGCAGCCGCGCGCUCCCAGCCCCGCACGCCCCGGGCCGCUGCUCUGCUCCGGGGAAGCUGACCAGGCCGCCAGCCUCCUGGGCCUUUAGUUGCGGCCAUUGCUUCCCGGCCUGCGCGCUCCCUCGCCCCAGAGUAAGACGUCGGGACCCCAGGAGGUGA
rnacentral:lncRNA from 1 species